rnacentral:lncRNA from 1 species
UUUAAGAGCUGGAGGAUGGAUAAGAUUGGAGAGCUGAUGAGCAACAUUUAAAGAAGGAUUAUUUCUGAAAACGUGCAUGAGUCAGAAGUGGGGAAUGAGUAAUACUUGCUUUGGACUUUAUGAAUGUCUCACUGCUGAAGGGCCAUCAUCUAGUUUUUUCAGUAAGGCGUAUGCGGGCCACCAGCACAACAUGGCUGCUAACAGAGUGGUAUAGAUCUGCACCAAGAAACCAAACCUAGGCUGCUGGAAUGGAGCAUGCUGAACUGAACCACUAGGCCACGGGGGCUUGCCCAAGACCUAUCUUUUUAGAGUAAUGUUAAGAGCAAAACGUUUUCUCUCUGAAUACAUAGCUUGUAAAACUAAAGUGGGACAGCAACUGCAUUAUGGUUUUAGGGAAGAAUACAAUACUUAUUAAGAAUUCAGUAAUACAAUAAUGAGCUAUAUUUUUCUCUUUCCUUCAUUAGUUCAAGAUAUGACUCAUGUCACCAGUGUGUAUGUCACCCACUUUUUUGAGCGUGGGCUCAAGAAUAAAGAUAAGAUUUUGAAGUCUGUGUUUUGAAAAUCAA